AUGGCUUGGCUGUAAUGUGGAAGGCCUUGCAGGCAAGCCGCAGAGUGCAGACUAUGUCAUCAACACACGUCAACUCUAAAUAAUGAAAACUCACUGCUUAUAAUCAUAGAUACAGCUGAGCCCACAGGAAAUACCUAACCUGCAAUCAAUCUCCUCCUCGCUGUGGUCUGGCAGGACAGGUGAUACCUGUCUUCAUGAAUUUUUGUGUGAGGAAUUCAUUUUUAUUUCAGCAUCAAAAUCACAAAUUUUUAUAGGCCAGUUGGAAACAAGCUGAUGGUCUAUAAUGCUUUUAUUUGUUUUUGUAACAGCAACAGACCAUCCAUGGUCACUGUGAUUUAUUUAUAUGACAGCAUUUUUCAUGUAAAAAGUUAUUUUCUUUUAAAGUACUUUCAUAAUCUUUCGCUUGUUAGUCUUCCAAUGGUCUUGUGAAGAGGUUAGUAAAAAGACACUGUACUUUAUGACAAAUGUAGAUGGCAAAGCCCAGGGUGUUAAAUAACUUCCUUGCUGAUAUCAUAGGGAAGAGAAUUAAAUAAAUGGUUAACAACCUCAUGGCAAACUCACAGUAAAAAUAUCACAUUCUUUGUGAGAUUAUGGUACCAUUUCUUUGCUAUAAUAUAAACAUUUGCUUUGGUUUGUCAGUCUAGCCAUUCCAAAAAUCCUUAUCAAGGGCUUGCAGUGUGUCAGUGUAUCAGGCAUUAUGGCAAACCAGGAUGUGGUUCAUACUACAUUUUAAAUCACUUUUGGAAUAACUGGACAAUCCCUACAGCCAGGAAACCUAGCUUUGGCGGACAGUUUUGGCUGACGACACAGUUUUCUAAGUCCUGCUAAAAUGAACUACUCUGUUAACUGCUUUUCGACUUACUGCCUCUAUUUUACAGGAAAUGACAAUCUGGGCGAAGAUGGUUGCUCUGACAAUAGAAAACCAGAAAGAACUGGCAGUUGCCAGAUGACUGCCUUCAGCAACAAGGAUCAUAUGCUUUCUCAUUCACAUCAGGAGGGAGAAAGGGAGCCACAGCACACAAUUUUGGGGCAAAAGUUCAAUGAUUGGUGUUCAAUCCCACUCCAUUUGUGGGCCAAGGGAACAUCAUGGGUCAGGAUUAUCCUGAUUGGAUUAACUUUGGGAUAAGGAUGAGGUUAAUUCCACCUAAACUUCUGAGGCGUGUCCUGCACAAUGUGGAAAGAAUGAAACAGAUUUUGAGAAGGCAGAAAAAAUAUAGGAAAGAACUGAAGAUGUAUUCCAGGUUUCUGAUGCCAUUCAAAGAUGUAGGGGAUUCAGGAGGAAGGUGGUACACUUGCCGAUAAGAAAGAAACACUACAACUUAGUACUGUUGCAGUCACCCACAGAAAUAAGAUGGGUGCCCUCCUAAAAUUUGGUUCACCUUUCAAGAUUUCUGAUACCAUGCAUCACAAGAGAGUGUAAGUUUAUAAGUCACAAAAUGAGAAUUUCUAGGAAGAGGAGGGCAGGCUUUCCAAACAAAUCCAACAUGGCGGGGAGAGGAUGCAGGGAGGUUGGGAGAAAGACUGGCCUUUGGGGAUUUUAUGGUGACUAGGGCUUGAUACUAGGGUGAAAAUUCCUACACAGAGGCCACAACUUGUGUGGCUUGAAUUACCCACCGGCACCAAAGAAGGGAGCACCCAGGAUUUCUUAUCAGCCUGCCCAGAUGUAGGGCAAGAGGGAAUGGAUGAAAGAUUGAAAGUUGUCAACCAUCAAACUGCCAAACAUCAACUAUGGAGUCGGAGUCUUUAUUACCUGUGUUUAGAGUUUUAUUUAUUCCGACAAGAAAAUAAUAUAAUUU